CUCUCUCUCUCUCUCUCUCUCUCUCUCUCUCUCUCUCUCUAAGCCCUCUCUGGAUGCCGGUGGAAGCAGCUCGGGAUGUGUCAGAUUUCUUUGUUUGAUCAGAGGAUUUUGAUUCGGAUUUGGUGAAUUAACCAAAGAGAAAACGGAAGAUUCUAGGAUUAGAAGGAACAAAAAAAAAUCUGAAAACGACAUCGUUGAUGAAUCUAACUGAGAUGAUCUUCUACCUGGAGAAAUCCUCUUCAACUCUGGUAGACAUCUUCUUAAUGUCUAUGGAACGAGGUUUACCAAAUGAUUUUGCCUGAGAUGGGGACUUCGGCUUAGUUUGAAAUUGGGCUGUUUCAGGUUUCGCCGGAAAGAUGACCGGAAAACCCAGAGAGAGAAAGACGAGAGAGAAAACUGAGCAGAGAGAAUGAAAAAUUUCUCCAGUUGUAUUACUCUGUUUUUUCUGUACAGAUGUUAAAUACACUUCCGAUUGUAUAAACCGCCAUAUAACUAACUAACAGAUUUCUAAACA